rnacentral:lncRNA from 1 species
UCCAUCAAUAGCAAUUGUAAUAGUAAUAUCAAUUAAUUUUCAAUUAUUUGUCCCCAUCUUUUACUUCAUUUAUGAUUCUAAAAUGAACUCAUCUGAAAACAUUAAACCAAAAUAAAAUUCAGCAAAAGUGUAAUUUCUGGCCGUUUACUAUGAAGGUGAACUCCAUUUUAGUGUCCAAAGAAGAAGUCAGGUGAUGGUAUUUUUUUAGGUUUAUCCUCCUUGAGUCCUUUUCUUAGAGCAAUCUUAAUUUAGAACUUGGUCAUGUAAACCUUAGAUAAUGUUCAUGGUCACUAGGAAAUAGAUGUGAGGAUAUAUAAAUCCUCU